ensembl:lncRNA
AGGAAAAUGGAGGGUUCACAUGAUGCUUUUUGGGUAAACUCCUAAGGGAGCUAGCAUCCAUCAAGCACCUGUUAUUGGUCAGGCCCUGGCUAAGGUGUUUGUCAAAUGAUCCCAUUUUCUCCUCCCAGUAGUCCAGUGAAGCUGGCAUGAUUUAUCUUAUUUAUCCCAUUUUACAGGUACAGACUUACCUAAGCAACUUGCCCAAGGUCCCAAAUCUGGGAAGUCGCAUAGUCAGAACUUGAACUCAGAUCUGUUUCCUUCCAAAGUCUUCAUUGUCUCUGUUCCCCACGCUGCUGCUGGUCUCUUGGCCGAGUGUAAGGUAGCUUGUGUGCCUUUCGUGAGCUAACAACGGAGGGCGGUAGGAGCUCUGGGUCGGUGGGUGAGCAUGAUUUCUGAACAGAGGAAGGAGCUAAGUGGGAAUGGAGGCGUGUUGAAGCGCUGAAUGCUUCCGCCUCCUUGUUCACCCACAGGGUGUUCCUUUGAUGAUUGUUCAUAAGGUGGGGCAGUUCACAUUAUUUCUUGACUUUAUGGGCACAUGAGGACCAUCUGACAGUCUGACGGUGGUCGGCACAUUCAUUCAUACUGCUCUUUUCAAUUUCUCAAGAUCUGUGUCCUGAAGAAGUGAACAAGGAGUCAACAUGAAUUAGUAAUUAUGAAACUGGGACAUGAAUUCAGAGCAAAGGUUCAAGUCCUGGAUAUGCUCCUUACAAGCUGUGUGAGCCGAAAUGUCCUUGGUUGAAAUAUUGGGGUAGCAACUCUAUGUACAGGCUAUGGGGUCCUUGUAAGGAUGAAUUAAUAUAUGGGAAGCCCUCAGCAUAGUUAAUACAAGUUAGUAAGCAUUUGUUCAAUGCUGGAUUGAGUGAUUGGCCUCAGUCAUGUACUAGCUGUGGGAUUUCAUCUCCCAACUUACUAGUUGGGAGAGGCUAGAUCCUGCUGCUGUAACAACAGUCUGGAAACAUCGGUGGUUUACCACACAGCAGAGAAACAGUGCUUGCUCAAAUUACAUGGCCAUUAUGGACUGGCCCAAGGCUUGGCUUCUCCACCCCUCUCUGGGACUCAGGGCAGCCUCUUCUGGAACAUUGCCUGUCUGUGCGGCACAUGGAAGAGAGAAGCCCAACACGAGCUGGGAGACCUGUGUCACUUCUGUGUACUUUUUGUUGGCCAACAUAAGUCAUACAGCCACUCCUGAGUUCAACAGUGCAAGGGUGGAAAAUCCUCCUGCAAGGGGGAAACUGAAGGGGAGGAAACUGUAAUAGUUUAUCAUAUAGUCAUGCAAUUGACCAGCUAGUCAUCCUGAGUCCCAGCUCUCCGGAGAGUGCCUGCACAUAGUAAGCAUUCUUGAAUCAGAAUACUAUCACUACUCUCACAAGUGCACUUGGGGCUCCCUUUCCCCCUUGUUUGGCCUAAAGCGGGGUCGGACCCAAAAAAAGUCGAGCUGUGCCUUAUUUAGCUCCACAUCUGGAGAGACUCAACUGUACCACAUAUUUGUUCCUAAAUCACUGAAUUGCUCACUGAAUUGGCUGCCAAGCCACCUUUUCCAGACAGAAGAGGAAAAACUUACUUGCAAAGAGAAAGAGAAGGCUCCUCCUGGCUAGGCUGAGGCUUCUUUUGGAGAUCAGCCAUUAUAAACAGAGAAGAUUUAUAACAACGAGGAUGCCCCAAACAGAGAGUAGAGUGGAAUUCCAAGGGAUCAGCCGGGAGGAGUGAAAGGAGGGGCUGGUGCACCAUCAGAAGGCUGUCAUCGGCCGGCAGUGUGAACUCAGAAAAUUAGUUGGAGCGUGCAAACCCAGAGACACAGCAUGGCCUCCUGGAACAAAACAAGAUGCACCGAGUCUUGGGGCAAGACUGAGAGAUCAAAGGCCAGUAUUACCAUUUAUUGGUGACAAACUCUAAGUUUUACUUACAUCACGUGGGAGAACUUCUAGUGUAAACAAUCAAUGGGCGUAGUACUGAGCUCGUGAGGCUACCAUGCUAUUCAUCUGGGUCAUAUGCAGGACCUUGUCAGACACAUUUCUGUGCACAGUUGUGUGACAUCAAAAGCAACACGGUUUAGAGGAAGUCUCUGCCCACACCAACAGAGUUUAAAAAGGUCAAUAUUUUUCUCAAUGAAGACACCCAAGACACAUUUGUAAAAUUUCCAAGAGACCUAAAGCAGAGAGGAGCAAUUUGCCUGACCCUUGAUCCAACAAAGUUUCAAUUGGACUUGACAGGCGGGAAGCACCGAUGAAAACAAGAAGAUGAAAUGAAACUCAGAAAAAUGAUUCUGCAAAUUCUAGAGGUUCCACAAGGAAGAACUUGUCUCUGCUGAACGCAAUGCCAGGAGGCUGUGGGAGCCACUUUCAAGGAGAAGUGCUUCAACUUCCAUUUGGACAUCCAUUUCUUCACCUGACUCUAUUUCUGCUUCUGGAGGUGAUCCUUGAUCCAGACCUCGCUAAUCAAAACACUGGUGACUAUUCCAUGGUAAGGAGAUUGGAGUGACAGCUUUUGUUUGAGCCUGUAAGGAAAUAGUAUCAUUCUUUUCUCACUAGUUUUGAGCCAGGGAGGUGGCAGCUCCUGCUGCUGUUGGCAGCCUCUUUAUGACCAUGAGGAGAGAUCAUCUGAGAACUGAGUUCACACAGCAAGUAGAGACAAGUGGACAGAGGCACCGCUAGAGCCUGAACUCACCCUCUGAGCAUCUGAACCAAGCCACACACUCUUCAGUUAUGUGCACUCAUAAAUUUUCAUUUUUGGUGAUGUCAGUUUGGGGGAGGUUUACCACUACUCGUAACCAAAAGAAUCCUAAUGGGUACAUUAAACCUUUUGUAAGUGUGCGGUUGGUGCUACAGUCUGGGCUGUAACUGGGCAGUUAAAAAGGCCCCUGGGUCUCAAUGGGAGAUCAGAGGCUUGAGGAGAGCUGCAGGGCUUGGGUGAGUAUAGAUUAGAGCCACGGGAAUAGUAUCAACAAAUAUUAGUGUGGCCUUUACCAAGCGCCAAAUACUGUUUUAAGUGUCUUUUAUCUGUAUUAGUUAAUUUAAGUUACCGUUAUCACCACUUUUUAAAAAGAUGGAAACCAAAGACACAGAAUGGUAGAGAACAUGUCCAAGAUCACACAGUUAUGGAGCUGGGAAUAUAACGAUGCUGGGCUCCAGAUGGAGCCAUCUUGCUGGGGGCAUACCCUCAGCUUUCCCCACUCCCCACUCCUCCUGACUUUCAUCCAGAGAGCAGAAGCUCCAAGUGCUUUCAGGCGAUACAGGAAUAUUCCUGUGGAAUAGAGUUUUUUUUUUUUUUUUUUUAAGAACUACUUUUGACAAUGAAAUUCAGAGACACAGGUGGAAAUUCAAGGGCAGUGGUUAAGGAAGCUGUGAACUGCAUGAGUAGAGACAAAGACUCUUACCCCUUGGUUUUCCCUUGGACUCACUGAUGUACCCAUGACAUGGAAGGAACAGGAACAGAGGGCCUGGAGAGGCACCCAGCGUGGCCAGUUCCAGGCAGCGCUCCCACUCUCCAGGCCGCGUUGACCUCCGUCAGUCCCUGCCUGCUUCUCCAGUCUCUGCCCUUCCCAGACCCCAGAGGCAGCCCACUGAGCACUCCCCAGUGAGGUCUGCCCACCCCCGUUUCAAGGGAG